rnacentral:rRNA from 1 species
AGUGAACGCUGGCGGUAGGCCUAACACAUGCAAGUCGAACGGCAGCACAGUAAGAGCUUGCUCUUACGGGUGGCGAGUGGCGGACGGGUGAGGUAUACAUCGGAAUCUACUUUUUCGUGGGGGAUAACGUAGGGAAACUUACGCUAAUACCGCAUACGACCUACGUGUGAAAGCAGGGGAUCUUCGGACCUUGCGCGAUUGAAUGAGCCGAUGUCGGAUUAGCUAGUUGGCGGGGUAAAGGCCCACCAAGGCGACGAUCCGUAGCUGGUCUGAGAGGAUGAUCAGCCACACUGGAACUGAGAAACGGUCCAGACUCCUACGGGAGGCAGCAGUGGGGAAUAUUGGACAAUGGGCGCAAGCCUGAUCCAGCCAUACCGCGUGGGUGAAGAAGGCCUUCGGGUUGUAAAGCCCUUUUGUUGGGAAAGAAAAGCAGCAGGUUAAUACCCCGCUGUUCUGACGGUACCCAAAGAAUAAGCACCGGCUAACUUCGUG